rnacentral:tRNA from 1 species
GCUGGUGUAGCUCAGUGGUAGAGCAACUGAUUUGUAAUCAGUCGGUCGGGGGUUCAAAUCCCUUCACUAGCU